rnacentral:tRNA from 2 species
GGAGAGGUGGUCGAGUGGUUUAAGGCAGCGGUCUUGAAAACCGCCGAGGGCUUCACGCCCUCCGUGGGUUCGAAUCCCACCCUCUCCGCCA